ACUGGUCCUUCAUAGUUAGUUUUUCAACAUGUUCAUGAACACAUUUAUACUUUUAUUUAGUUUUUAUCCGCACUUAAGUAAUGCAAUCGAUAAUAAUGUGACACAAAUUAUUUCAACUGAGGAGCCUUCAAUACCCAGAACAACUACGAUUAAUUAUAAUAAUUCUUUAUAUGAUGAAAAAGAUUACACAAGGAACGAGUUCUCCACAGACGAGUCCAUUUCAAACCUACUCUCAACUACAGUCAAUACAAGCAUUGUGGAUGGAGAAGAAGAUAAAAGUAUAACUGAGGCCCCAAUACUCUCCACAAGAACCAAACAUGUAUCUCUUCAUGAUUUAUUAACUGAGGGUAUGGAGGAUAAGACUUUAUAUGUGAAGAAUUCAAAAGGAGAAAUUACUUCCUAUUCUACAGCUAACAAAACAGAUAUAGAGUCUGUUCCUUUCUUCGCAAAGGCUGAAUCCAGUGAAUCACCUGUGUCAUUUAAUGAACCAACAAAUGGAGUCAUUGUUAAAGAAUUGAAUAGAGAGAGGAGUUGCUGCCGUUAUUUCUUUACAAAUAACAAAACGUUUGUGUGCAUCCCAAAAAAAUGCUUGUGAACUAAUUAACCAAUAUUAUAUCUAGUUACAAGCAAUACAUUCAUCUAAAGGCAAUAUAAAAAAAAAAUGGGAUUGUCUUUACAUAUUUGAGCCGAAAAAAUGGAAUAUGAGUCGAGAAAAUUGGGAGGAGAAAAAUCGUAGAGACGUCCACCUAUUAAUAUUUUUUUUUUUUAUUAUUAGAAACAACAAUGAUAAUAAUCUUGAAUGAUAUAAUAUAUUUAAUACUACAAUAAUACUACGAUGGAAAUAUAAUUGAAUCAAAGUU
rnacentral:misc_RNA from 1 species